UGAGGAAUAUUGGUCAAUGGGCGCAAGCCCGAACCAGCCAUGCCGCGUGCAGGACGAAUGCCCUAUGGGUUGUAAACUGCUUUUAUUUGGGAAUAAACCUAUUUACGUGUAGAUAGCUGGAGGUACCAAAUGAAUAAGCACCGGCUAACUCCGUGCCAGCAGCCGCGGUAAUACGGAGGGUGCAAGCGUUAUCCGGAAUCAUUGGGUUUAAAGGGUCCGCAGGCGGUGCUAUAAGUCAGUGGUGAAAUCUCAUAGCUUAACUAUGAAACUGCCAUUGAUACUGUAGCACUUGAAUUCGGUCGAAGUGGGCGGAAUAUGACAUGUAGCGGUGAAAUGCAUAGAUAUGUCAUAGAACACCGAUAGCGAAGGCAGCUCACUAGGCCUGGAUUGACGCUCAGGGACGAAAGCGUGGGGAGCAAACAGG
rnacentral:rRNA from 1 species